GGCCCGGUAGCUCAGUUGGUAGAGCAGAGGACUGAAAAUCCUUGUGUCGGCGGUUCGAUUCCGCCCUGGGCCA
rnacentral:tRNA from 1 species